GUCGAACGAUGAACCACUUCGGUGGGGAUUAGUGGCGAACGGGUGAGUAACACGUGGGCAAUCUGCCCUGCACUCUGGGACAAGCCCUGGAAACGGGGUCUAAUACCGGAUAACAGCUUCCAUCGCAUGGUGGGGGUUUGAAAGCUCCGGCGGUGCAGGAUGAGCCCGCGGCCUAUCAGCUUGUUGGUGAGGUAGUGGCUCACCAAGGCGACGACGGGUAGCCGGCCUGAGAGGGCGACCGGCCACACUGGGACUGAGACACGGCCCAGACUCCUACGGGAGGCAGCAGUGGGGAAUAUUGCACAAUGGGCGAAAGCCUGAUGCAGCGACGCCGCGUGAGGGAUGACGGCCUUCGGGUUGUAAACCUCUUUCAGCAGGGAAGAAGCGCAAGUGACGGUACCUGCAGAAGAAGCGCCGGCUAACUACGUGCCAGCAGCCGCGGUAAUACGUAGGGCGCAAGCGUUGUCCGGAAUUAUUGGGCGUAAAGAGCUCGUAGGCGGCUUGUCGCGUCGGUUGUGAAAGCCCGGGGCUUAACCCCGGGUCUGCAGUCGAUACGGGCAGGCUAGAGUUCGGUAGGGGAGAUCGGAAUUCCUGGUGUAGCGGUGAAAUGCGCAGAUAUCAGGAGGAACACCGGUGGCGAAGGCGGAUCUCUGGGCCGAUACUGACGCUGAGGAGCGAAAGCGUGGGGAGCGAACAGGAUUAGAUACCCUGGUAGUCCACGCCGUAAACGGUGGGCACUAGGUGUGGGCAACAUUCCACGUUGUCCGUGCCGCAGCUAACGCAUUAAGUGCCCCGCCUGGGGAGUAGGCGCAAGGCUAAAACUCAAAGAAUUGACGGGGGCCCGCACAAGCGGCGGAGCAUGUGGCUUAUUUCGACGCAACGCGAAGAACUACCAAGCUUGACAUACACCGGGAAACCCUGGACAGGGUCCCCUGGGUCGGUGUACGGUGGUGCAUGGCUGUCGUCAGCUCUGUGAUUGGGUAAGUCGCAACA
rnacentral:rRNA from 1 species